rnacentral:rRNA from 1 species
CGCAUCUGUGCAUGCAGCAUAUCAAUAAGCGGAGGAAAAGAAACUAACAAGGAUUCCCCUAGUAACGGCGAGUGAAGCGGGAAGAGCUCAAAUUUGAAAUCUUAAAGGGUUUCCCUUUACGAAUUAUAGUUUAAAGAAGUGUUUUCUGUUGAGGUUUUGGUAAAAGUUCUUUGGAAUAGGACAUCAUAGAGGGUGAGAAUCCCGUAUUUGACCUUUACUUUCAACUUUGUGAUACACUUUCAAAGAGUCGGAUUGUUUGGGAAUGCAGUCCAAAAUGGGUGGUAAAUUUCAUCUAAAGCUAAAUAUUGGCGAGAGACCGAUAGCGAACAAGUACCGUGAGGGAAAGAUGAAAAGAACUUUGAAGAGAGAGUUAAACAGUACGUGAAAUUGUCAAAAGGGAAGCGUUUGACACCAGUGUUGUUUUUCUGAAAAUCAAUUAAAGAACUGUUUAUGCUAAGCUGUUUAGACUUUAUCAGCUAAUCUGUUUAGUUUUGAGCUUUUCUUUAAUGCACUUUUCAGUUAACAAGUCAACAUCAAUUUCUUUUGCUGUAAAAAAGCUUGAGGAAGGUGGCUUGAGAUUCGUCUUAAGUGUUUAUAGCCUCUUGCCUAUGCAGUCGGAGAGAUUGAGGUCUGCAGCGUAGAUCCUUCGGGGCUAAAUGCAUUUGUGCUAAGUUAUAGCAUUUUAUAGACAACUUGUUGACUAUGAUUUGUCUUGUAGCUUACUCGCUUAUGUUAUUUUACCUACGCUUAGGAUGUUGAGUCAUCACACAUCUCU